rnacentral:rRNA from 1 species
GGAUGGAGACAGCGGAGACAAUAGGGGUUGGAGAAGGAGAGCCGAGAGAGAGGGUAUUCCGGCCGGUGGUGUUUCUCCAGCCGUAGCAAGCCUCGAGAGAGGUGGAAUAGAGGGGUUGUCGGCGAGAGAGAAAACAUAGGGGUGAAAGAGGGGGCCACUGCUUUGUAGCUCUGGCGUAGCCGGUGGCUGCUACGUUCCUCCUGCUUCGUGCUGAAGAAGGGUAGGGCCGGUGGCCGCGACGUUUCAGCUACAACGCCGCGUCGUAUUCGGCAUCGUCAAGACGUUCCGCCCGAGCCGCGACACUCCGCCCUCGCGCCCGACGAGGAAGCCACCCGCCACCUCGAUGUUGGGUUACCCGCACGGCGAUGCGCCGCUGCCGCCUCGACGUUACACCCACCACUCGCCUCCUCGACGUUGCGCCCACCACUCGCCUCCUCGACGUCGCGUUGCCGGUACCACAACGCGCAGCCGCUGCCUCUGCGUCCCGUUGCUGGUACCACAACACACGGCAGCCGCCUCGAUGUCACGUUGUGCGGCCACUCACUGUCUCGACGUCACGUUACCCCCGUAUCACCGGCCGUGGUCUCGACGUUGCGUUGUGUGGCCACAACGAUACCUCGUAGCGGCCCCCCGCGGCCUCAACGAUACCUCGUAGCUGUCCGGCAACUACAACGUAACCUCGUAGCGGACACGACAUAACUUCGUGGCGGCUCCAGCGGCCCCGACGUUACUGCCCAGCGGCCCCAGCAAAUUUGAAGCGGCAGGUACGUUACCUCGCGGCGGCCUCGACGUUACCUCGCGACGGCCUCAGCGGCCCGACGUUACUUCGGAGUGCCUCCCAGCGGCCACGACGCAACUUCGCGGCAGCCCCAACGGCCCCGACGUUACCUCGCGGCGGCUCCGGCCUCGACGUGUCGACCUCGAAGUGACCCGCAGUGGCGACGACACAACUUCGCAGCGGCCCAGCAGCCCCGACGUUACAGCGAAGCGACCCGACAGUAAGUUCGAAACGGCCACGCCCACGAUGCCCUGCCGUUCGACCACGGGACCGGCCUCGAUGCGCGCUCGUACGCGACCCUCGGCCUCGACAACGCCUUUCUUACUUGUCCACCCCAACCUCGUUCCUGCACCAGUUGAGGUGCCCUCUAGUUUGGCAGGAUUAGUCCCGCUUAGAUACCGACCGCUCCGCCGACUAGGAAAGGGUCCUACUCAGCCGAAUGCGGAUCGUCACCGGUUAUUAUUUCGUGCCCAACUCAGGCAACCCAAGUGGCAGCACGGCAAAAACGUUAUUUCAGGGACACGGAAAACUAUUAACUUGGGCGUGAGGAAAAAAUUCACCUUGACCCUUUUUGCGAAGCAACAACGUUUUUUCAGCGACUGGAGAAAUUCUUAGUUGGGCCUCAGGGGUUAUCGGGCUCGCGGAGAGGAAGAGUGCUCACCUAGGCGGCGACGGGAGCGGGGUAGCAGCGGGGUGGUGGCGAGCGGCGACGCCUAGGCGGUUGAGGCGGCGGCAAGGAGAGAUCGGAGGCGGCGACGGCCGGGAGAGGCGGGAGGGGGCCAGAAGAGGGGGAGGCAGCGGGACAAGAAGAAGGGGAGGGGUAGGAGAGGAUUAGAAGAGGCCGCGCGCGUGAGCGCCUACGUCCGCUUACCGAGCCCGUCCUCUGUACCGAGUGCCGCCGCCGCAGAGAGGAGCCCUCCUCGAGCUCGCAACUCCAGCCCCACACGCGACGGGGAUCCUGCCUCAGGUGGCUAGGCACGACCAGUACCAGGUGGUGGUGGUGCGGAAGUUAGGCUGGAGGUGUUGAAGUCGUUCGUCCUCGUAGCGUUACCAACGCCAGACGAGUUAAAUUGAUAACUUAUAUAAUCAAAGAACUAGGAAAGACUCUAGUACAAAACAAACGUAGACUAUUAAUCCUACUGGAGGAAAGAAAGUCCAAACAUACGAUUCUAUUUGAACUCACUGCUCCAACUAAACAAACAUACGAUCCUACUUGAACUCACUGCUCCAACUAAACCUUCUAGUACAGAGGUCUGUCCUAUUUUAGUCACGACGAUUACACUCAACUAAACCUUCUAACAGAGGUCUGUCCUAUUUUAGUUACGACUACUACUUCGACCGUGCGGAUAAUAGGCGUUUUUAGCCAUUACAAUAGGACGGGUUCCUGAAGCUCUUCCCAAUGGCUUGGUUGCAGUUCUUCGGAAUCUGUCUGAAACUGAAGAUGUUUACUCCGUUGCUUGAUAAUUUCUCCUACCAAAUAAAGGAUGCCCGUUGUUAAUAAUUGUGAUCUCAACUUAAACAACUGCCAGCGCAGGCUGUCAUUAUAGGGACAUAGAACCACGAGGACAUCAAACGUGUAAGUCAGAGUAAUCACAACAAUUCGAUGAACGGACGUUUUUCGCAGUACCCUCAACGAAGGGUCGCUCUCUCUUCUCAAGUUUUUCCCUCUCUCGUUUCUUCUUCCUGUUCCUCUCCCGUCACCACAGCACACCUCUGACCGGCCACUCCGUAUUGAUCUUCAAAGAGAUUACCAGCUGUUGUUCCUAGUGACGUGUUGUCCGAAACCUCGUCCGAGGCUAAGUAUCUCUUGAGGGGUUGUUGGAGUAGAAAACUCCUACAAUCUACCUAUAACUUAGGUCAUUCGGAGGUUAUCUAUUUCCUUCAGUUUAAAAGACAACCAUUAAACGUGCUGUCCCAAGAUCGUUUAAAUACUAACACGGAUGUUGUUUGAUGGAGACGGACUUCUAAACUCUAAAAAGUCUCUUCUUUCUUGAGAUCUCCACACGUACAAACAGUAUAAAAAUACCUCUUAGUUCAGACGUCUUAUGGAUGACUAAACUCCUUAAGCCUACAAUGGGUACCAGUAUGUGUCUACAUCAAAUACUCUUUGAUAGAAUACAACUACCACACAUUCGUAUAGUCGGAGGGCCAACGGAUAAAGUAAGGAGUGCCCUGGUAAUACGACCCGAUUAACUCCAUGUGUGGUUCUCCCUCUUAAAGCCGUCGACUUUUAGACCUGGACUUUUUCGAUGCAGUCCGGUGGAUAAGACGUGUUGAGGUUUGUUCAACUUUGAAAUGUCUCUAAAAAAUACCUCAUAUAUUCUUAAUAACCUCGGUUAUUCAUGGUCUCCCCCCAGUCCACCCGUGUUGGAUGGACCCGCGCGGUCCAUCGGGUCCACGCGGUACCACCCAUCAUCGGGGGAGCCGGGUGGAGGCCACGGGUAGAAGACCAUAUAUUGAGUAAAAAUGGAUUUUUUUUAUUCCCCUUCUGAAAGCCCCGCCUCUCGGCGGCAGAGCUCCGCCUUGAACCCAUCCUCGUGAAAACGGGAGACCGCCUCGCUAAGACGGCCCCUUGAAGGGAAGGCCUCCACCUUUAGUAGCAGUAGUAGUAGUCGUUGUUGAGAGGGUAGAACCCCUCCCGUUAGAGGUAGUUGUAGAAGUGGUCGUGGUAGAGUAGAGUUUAGGAUCAAGUAGAGAACAUAAGUUAGAACAAUGGCCUUGAUCUAACCACGAUCCCCCACUGAUCAUCACAACUAAUGUAGAACAUCAACUAAUGAUAUACCAAAUAAACCACCUUCUAAUAUACAAGUCUAGGUACUACGAUAAAUUAUGAGGAGACUAGUACUCGUACAAAUAAUAAACACUCAUCAAUGAAAGUAAGAACUCCAGUGCCCU